rnacentral:lncRNA from 12 species
GGGAGGGAUGAGCAGGGGAACAGCGGUGUCUCCACUGGACGGUGGGGGCACGUGCAAGGCUGCUGGAGCAGGGGCAAAGGACACACUGAGGAAGGAGGAGAAAACACAGCUACAAAGGAAACACCUCAGGUCCUUUCUUCAUGUCUCAAGUGGGCUACAUCACCUAUCCACACCCCAGGUGUUCCUCCUCCUUUCUCUGCCUUGCUGUAAAUCGUGCUGGAGCAAGCUUGGCUUCCCGUGUGCUGGGGAGCAGGGGGCAGCCUCCUGCCUGCACGCCAGGAACACUCAUUCCAAAGCCAUCGACACCAAUUGCUUCAGCUUUAGGAGAAGGAGCAGCGUUCUGCAGAGCCAGAAGCCUCUUCUCAGCUUGCCAUGCCCAGCCUCUGCCUGCUGAGUGCUCCCUCCACCUGGCUACAGCCUGGGACCUGCUUCCGUCUGCUCCACACGCUGUUCCAAUCGCCCUGGCCAAGUUCUGCACUCUUGCAAGACGAGAGGGACUGAUAAAG